rnacentral:rRNA from 1 species
CCUACGGGUGGCAGCAGUGGGGAAUAUUGCACAAUGGGGGAAACCCUGAUGCAGCGACGCCGCGUGAGCGAAGAAGUCUUUCGGUAUGUUAAGCUUUAUCUGCAGGGAAGAAAAUGACGGUACCUGUGUAAGAAGCUCCGGCUAAAUACGUGCCAGCAGCCGCGGUAAUACGCAUGGAUCAAGCGUUAUCCGGAUUUACUGGGCGUAAAGGGAGCGUAGGUGGGUUGACAGGUCGGAUGUGAAAUACCGGGGCUCAACCCCGGGGCUGCAUUGGAAACUGGCAGGCUGGAGUGCCGGAGAGGCAGGCGGAAUUCCUAGUGUAGCGGUGAAAUGCGUAGAUAUUAGGAAGAACACCAGUGGCGAAGGCAGCCUGCUGGACGGUGACUGACGCUGAGGCUCGAAAGCGUGGGGAGCAAACAGGAUUAGAUACCCUGGUAGUC